UACGGGGGGGAGCAAGCGUUGUUCGGAUUUACUGGGCGUAAAGGGCGCGUAGGCGGCCAGCACAAGUCAGUUGUGAAAUCUCCGAGCUUAACUCGGAAAGGUCAACUGAUACUGUGCGGCUAGAGUGCAGAAGGGGCAACUGGAAUUCUUGGUGUAGCGGUGAAAUGCGUAGAUAUUGGGAAGAACACCUGAGGCGAAGGCGGGUUGCUGGGCCGACACUGACGCUGAUAGCGCGAAAGCCAGGGGAGCGAACGGG
rnacentral:rRNA from 1 species